rnacentral:tRNA from 1 species
GCGGGUGUAGUUUAAUGGUAAAACCUCAGCCUUCCAAGCUGAUAUCGUGAGUUCGAUUCUCAUCACCCGCU